rnacentral:lncRNA from 1 species
GAGAGAGCUAGGCUGGUAUACUAUCAGUAGCACAGAGGCCUCCGUGCUAGAAGUUGUUUUCAAUGAUGUGGCUUCCAAAUCGACAAUCGGCUCCGUAAGAUUUGAUCUACACUACUGAAAGUAUUUGAAAACUAAAUUUCAUAAUUUUUCGAUAUCAUUUGACUAGUGAUCAAAAGGUCUCAAAAUUGAUAAUUUUAAUAGUAGAUGUGAUGCGUUUGUGAAUUUACGGUGUAAAACAAUCCAAAUUUAAUAAAAUUUUUAUAAAUUUUUUUUUGCACUAUUUAGAAUAAAAUCAGUAUCUCGGAUCUUAAAUUUAAGUAUUUUAUCAUUAUAUUUUAUAAAAAUUUGAUUUUCAACCGUUCAUUUUUAUACUACUCAUUUGAUUGGUAAAUAAUGCCGAAAAAUUAUGAAAUUUAGUUUCUAAAUAUUUUCAAUAGUGUAAAUUAAGUCUAACAGAGCUGACGUCGAUUUGAAAGCCGCGUCAUUGAAAAUAACUUGGUAGCACGAAAACUUCUGUACUAUCGAUAGUAUAUCAACCUAGCUCUCUCUCUCUCUCUCUCUCUCUCU